CAGAGGGUGCAAACGUUGCUCGGAAUCACUGGGCGUAAAGGGCGUGUAGGCGGGAAUGUAAGUCGGGCGUGAAAUCCCCAGGCUCAACCUGGGAACUGCACUCGAAACUGCGUUUCUUGAGUAUCGGAGAGGAAAGCGGAAUACCUGGUGUAGAGGUGAAAUUUCGUAGAUAUCAGGUGGAACACCAGUGGCGAAGGCGGCUUUCUGGACGAUAACUGACGCUGAGACGCGAAAGCGUGGGGAGCAAACAGGAUUAGAUACCCUGGUAGUCCACGCCGUAAACGAUGAGCGCUAGGUGCUGUGGGUAUUGACCCCCGCGGUGCCGAAGCUAACGCAUUAAGCGCUCCGCCUGGGAAUACGGUCGCAAGACUA
rnacentral:rRNA from 1 species